rnacentral:rRNA from 1 species
GGCGCACGGGUGAGUAACACGUGACUAACCUACCCUGGAGUGGGGAAUAACUGAGGGAAACCUUAGCUAAUACCGCAUAAUACCUACGGGUCAAAGGAGCAAUUCGCUUCAGGAGGGGGUCGCGGCCGAUUAGUUAGUUGGCGGGGUAAUGGCCCACCAAGACAGUGAUCGGUAUCCGGCCUGAGAGGGCGCACGGACACACUGGAACCGAAACACGGUCCAGACUCCUACGGGAGGCAGCAGUGGGGAAUUUUGCGCAAUGGGGGAAACCCUGACGCAGCAACGCCGCGUGGAGGAUGAAAUCCCUUGGGAUGUAAACUCCUUUCGAUCGGGACGAUUAUGACGGUACCGGAAGAAGAAGCCCCGGCUAACUUCGUGCCAGCAGCCGCGGUAAUACGAGGGGGGCAAGCGUUGUUCGGAAUUAUUGGGCGUAAAGGGAGCGUAGGCGGUUUUGUAAGUCGUGUGUGAAAUCUUCGGGCUCAACUCGAAGUCUGCACACGAAACUGCAGGGCUUGAGUAUGGGAGAGGUGAGUGGAAUUCCUGGUGUAGCGGUGAAAUGCGUAGAUAUCAG